GUAUUCUUCUCUACCUUCCAAGACAACUUCUCUCUCGUCACCCCCAACCUAACAUACGCCCUCAAUCUCUCGUCAUGAGUAGAUGGCGAUGAAUGCCGAGACAGCGGAGGGGAUUGCGCCAAACCCAGUCUGGUAGUUGCCUCCGUCACGCUCCUCGUUCUUCGAAAAUGAAAGUUUCUGCCUUCGUCACUGCUGUCCACCGUGGCAACUACCGGACCGGGUUCAGUGCGAUCCACUCCGCUGUCUCGGCGUUCGUCGCCAUCUACACGGAGCCGUUUUCACUCAAACCGAGCGAGCUCCUUCCAUCACAUCACGAAGAAAAACAAUGAGAAAUGAAGAGCUGAUAUGGCUGGAGGAAUUCUUAUUGAAGUAGCAUGUUUAACAUUGCCUAUUGUUAAACUUACUUUCCCUCGUGUCAUUGUUCUCCAACUCAAAGUUACUACUUGAUACAAUUGGUCAAGGAUUAUGGAAUAAAAUGAAGCUUUUUGAUGUGGAACAGUCCACUUUCAGUGCUUUGACUGGCACCGCAACUGAGGUGAUUGUUUCUUGGCCAAUUCACCAUGUAAUUUGGUCUGUUUUCUAUUUACUUAAUCAAUAAUUUUUUCAAUUUUAGGUAGAGAACUGAGUUAAUUGGGAUUUGGGAUUAGAUUGAGCAACUCACAUACUUGCUGUUCUGAUACUAUGCAGGCAUGAUGUAGAAGCUAUUUGGGCUGCAAUAGAAUCUGGUGAAUCCUAGGUUGGUAGAUGCAAUGAAGCUAUUAUUCAAAUUACUUCUCCAUCACGAGAACUGUGGAGAUGCCACAGCCUCUACAAAAUCUCUAAAAAUAAACUUUCAGCGCGGCAAGUGUGUCUCCAGUAAUGAGUUCAAAGUGCAAGAGCGAGUAGACAACAUUCCAAGAUUUAGGGAAGUGAUCAGGUGGGCAUGCCAAAAAGAUGAGGAGUUCAUUGCAUCACUUUCCAACAAAUCAACGACCAAUAAUUUGGUUACCAGUAUGUUGGAUUUAGUACACACGGAUCUCUAGACUGUUUUGAGUUAUUAUUGAUCUAACUAUUUUGACUUGAUAUUGAUUGUAAAGAAUACUUUGGGUUAAUAUAUUCUUAUUUUGUCGGCUCA